GCGGUGCGAUAGGGGGACUCCGAGUGCGAGGGCAUAUCAGUCCUUCGCUUUUUUGUGCCGUAGGGGGGGACACCAACAAGGACUGGGCAAGAACGGUGCCAGCCGCCGCGGUAAUACCGGCAGCCCCAGUGAUGGCCCAUCUUAUUGGGCCUAAAGCGUCCGUAGCUGGCUGCGCCAGUCCGUCGGGAAAUCCACCCGCCCAACGAGUGGGCGUCCGGGGGAAACUGGGCGGCUUGGGACCGGAAGGGUCCAAAGGUACCUUCGGGGUAAGAGUGAAAUCCCCUAAUCCCGGACGGACCACCGAUGGGGAAAGCACUUCGAGAAAACGGAUUCCAACGUGAGGGAAGAAAGCCAGGGUCUUCAACCGGAUUAAAUACCCGGGUAGUCCUGGCCGGAAACCAUGGUUGGUAGGUAUGGCACCCACUACGCGUCUCUGGUGUGCCGUAAGGAAACCGAUAAACGAACCGCCUGGGAAGUACCUCUGCCAGGAUGAAACUUAAAGAAU
rnacentral:rRNA from 1 species